AUGUCAUAGCGACUUUUGGGGUAGUUUGCUUUCGGCAAAGGGGGACAAAGUCAUGGGGUUAGAGGGAAGGAGGACCCAAAACAGCCUCCAAGACCCUCACCAUCUCUUCACCGGCUCCCCCUCCCCACCCCCCACAGGUCCUGUAAGAAGUUGGGCCCAGCUGGAAGGGAUUGACCGACGCCUCAUCGCCCUAGGCUGGCCUCUGCGGAGAUUCCAGGCCCCACAGAGACCAGGACUUCCCUCAGCGCCACCGCCCCUCGUGCCAAUGCAGCCGGGAAAUCGCCAUUACCCACACUGGGCAAGAGAACCGCACGGGGGCAAUCGGAGAGGCCAGGAAAAGGGAGAGAUGGAGGGAGAAGGUUCCAGGUUGGCCGUACUCAGGAGCAGGCCGAGCGGCCCAGAGGAAGCCCUGUCGGCCGGUGCUGCCAGGCUCACUGCGGAUGCACCCCAGCCCGGUAAACUCGCUGUCGCUGUCGCUCGCCGGGACUGGUUUUCCUUCAAUUUUAAAAUUUCAUGUGGAUCGCCCAUGCCAAUUUAGAAUGAAAUAGAUUUAAAUACAUAAAGUAAAAAUAAAUUGAAAUAAAAGCAAGGAAUCUGAUGAAAA
rnacentral:lncRNA from 1 species